GUAGUUGAUAAGAGAAUAAAAUUGAGUUUAAUUUCUACCAAAAUGAGAAACGUUUCGGAUCUACCAAAUUGUGUUAGUGUAUCUGUGUGGGAAUCUUCUCAGAAAUUAGUACAUGCAAUCGAUUGGAGUAGAGGAAACAGGAAUGAAGAACACAAGGACUCUGUAGUAUCGAUAUAGCAGCAAGGCAGUAAAGGAAACGACUUGGUAGAAGGGAACAUAUUUGCUUUUGGGCUCUUUGUGUCACCCAUAUCAACAUUUAGAAGAAUAAUCAGAAACCAAUCAAUGGUAAAAUGGGAAUGCCAACAAUAAAAUCAUAGCAAUGUACUUUCUAAAGAGUAUCAUCAAAACCAUGAAAAAAAAUCCAUCCGAAGGGGGAAUAUGGUAACCGAAUGCCUAAUUAGUAGGAGAUGAUCAAGGAAGUUGAUGUCGAUUCUUCAAAGAAGCAUUGAGCAGGAGAACAAUUAAUAGGAUGGUUGAAGGUAUGACACGUGGAAUGAAGGAGGUGUAGAAAGGGGACACGUGGCUCCUUAAAGAGUCUUUUAUUAGGAACAUAUAAUAUAUGAUCCAUAAUAAAUAUUAUUGAUUCAAAACCUAUUAUAAAUUAAAAUCCAUAAAAAAAUCAAACA